AUCCAGCUCACGAGUCCCAAAUAGGAGGAAACGAGCGUCAAACUGGAU
rnacentral:hammerhead_ribozyme from 1 species